rnacentral:rRNA from 1 species
UACGGAGGGGGCUAGCGUUGUUCGGAAUUACUGGGCGUAAAGCGCGCGUAGGCGGACCUGCAAGUCGGGGGUGAAAGCCCGAGGCUCAACCUCGGAACUGCCUUCGAUACUGCGGGUCUCGAGUCCGGGAGAGGUGAGUGGAAUUCCUAGUGUAGAGGUGAAAUGCGUAGAGAUGGGGGAGAACACUCGUGGCGAAGGCGGCCAGCUAGACCAGUUCUGACACUGAGGCGCGACAGCGUGGGGAGCAAACAGG